AUUCCAGCUCCAAGAGCGUAUAUUAAAGUUGUUGCAGUUAAAAAGCUCGUAGUUGGAUUUCUGGUCUAAUGCGCCUGGCCCGCUGCCGUUAGGUAUGUGAGUGCCGGUGCGCGUUUACCAUCCUUCCAGAGAACACUUCUACCAUUUAUUUGGACGGAUGUUGUCUUCUGGAUCUUUUACUUUGAAAAAAUUAGAGUGUUUAAAGCAGGCCUUUGCUGUGAAUACAUUAGCAUGGAAUAAUAAUCUAGGACUUCGGUUCUAUUUUGUUGGUUUCUAGUACUGAAGUAAUGAUUGAUAGGGAUAGUUGGGGGUGCUAGUAUUGGCCGGCCAGAGGUGAAAUUCUUGGAUUCGGUCAAGACUAACUUAUGCGAAAGCAUUCACCAAGGAUGUCUUCAUUA
rnacentral:rRNA from 1 species